UACAGAGGUCUCAAGCGUUGUUCGGAUUCAUUGGGCGUAAAGGGUGCGUAGGUGGCGCGCUAAGUCAGGUGUGAAAUUUCGGAGCUUAACUCCGAAACUGCAUUCGAUACUGGCGUGCUUGAGGACUGGAGAGGAGACUGGAAUUUACGGUGUAGCGGUGAAAUGCGUAGAUAUGCGGAGGAACACCGAUGGCGAAGGCAAUCCCCUGGGCCUGCACUGACGCUGAUGCACGAAAGCUAGGGGGAGCAAACGGG
rnacentral:rRNA from 1 species